rnacentral:rRNA from 1 species
UACAGAGGGUGCAAGCGUUGUUCGGAAUUACUGGGCGUAAAGGGCGCGUAGGCGGCUCUGCAAGUCAGAUGUGAAAUCCCGAGGCUCAACUUCGGAAGUGCAUUUGAAACUGCAAAGCUAGAGUUCAGUAGAGGUUGGCGGAAUACCCAGUGGAGAGGUGAAAUUCGUAGAUAUUGGGUGGAACACCGGUGGCGAAGGCGGCCAACUGGGCUGACACUGACGCUGAGGCGCGAGAGCAUGGGUAGCAAACAGG